rnacentral:rRNA from 1 species
CAUGGAGUUUGAUCCUGGCUCAGAUUGAAUGCUGGCGGAAUGCUCUACACAUGCAAGUCGAACGGUAGAGGGGGCAACCCCUCGAGAGUGGCGAACGGGUGAGUAAUAUAUCGGAACGUGCCCAGUCGUGGGGGAUAACGUAGCGAAAAUUACGCUAAUACCGCAUACGAUCUAAGGAUGAAAGCGGGGGAUCGCAAGACCUCGCGCGAUUGGAGCGGCCGAUAUCAGAUUAGGUAGUUGGUGAGGUAAAGGCUCACCAAGCCAACGAUCUGUAGCUGGUCUGAGAGGACGA